rnacentral:rRNA from 1 species
UCGGGAAUUUUGCGCAAUGGGCGAAAGCCUGACGCAGCAACGCCGCGUGAGGGAUGACGGCCUUCGGGUUGUAGACCUCUUUUGUCAGGGACGAUAAUGACGGUGCCUGACGAAUAAGCCACGGCUAACUACGUGCCAGCAGCCGCGGUAAUACGUAGGUGGCGAGCGUUGUCCGGAUUUACUGGGCGUAAAGAGCGCGCAGGCGGUCGUUCAAGUCGA